GAUGAACGCUGGCGGCGUGCCUAAUACAUGCAAGUCGAGCGAACAGACGAGGAGCUUGCUCCUCUGAUGUUAGCGGCGGACGGGUGAGUAACACGUGGAUAACCUACCUAUAAGACUGGGAUAACUUCGGGAAACCGGAGCUAAUACCGGAUAACAUGUUGAACCGCAUGGUUCAACAGUGAAAGACGGUCUUGCUGUCACUUAUAGAUGGAUCCGCGCCGCAUUAGCUAGUUGGUAAGGUAACGGCUUACCAAGGCAACGAUGCGUAGCCGACCUGAGAGGGUGAUCGGCCACACUGGAACUGAGACACGGUCCAGACUCCUACGGGAGGCAGCAGUAGGGAAUCUUCCGCAAUGGGCGAAAGCCUGACGGAGCAACGCCGCGUGAGUGAAGAAGGUCUUCGGAUCGUAAAACUCUGUUAUUAGGGAAGAACAAAUGUGUAAGUAACUAUGCACGUCUUGACGGUACCUAAUCAGAAAGCGACGGCUAACUACGUG
rnacentral:rRNA from 1 species